AUGAACGCUAGCUACAGGCUUAACACAUGCAAGUCGAGGGGCAGCAUGGUCUUAGCUUGCUAAGGCCGAUGGCGACCGGCGCACGGGUGAGUAACACGUAUCCAACCUGCCGUCUACUCUUGGAUAGCCUUCUGAAAGGAAGAUUAAUACAAGAUGGCAUCAUGAGUCCGCAUGUUCACAUGAUUAAAGGUAUUCCGGUAGACGAUGGGGAUGCGUUCCAUUAGAUAGUAGGCGGGGUAACGGCCCACCUAGUCUUCGAUGGAUAGGGGUUCUGAGAGGAAGGUCCCCCACAUUGGAACUGAGACACGGUCCAAACUCCUACGGGAGGCAGCAGUGAGGAAUAUUGGUCAAUGGGCGAGAGCCUGAACCAGCCAAGUAGCGUGAAGGAUGACUGCCCUAUGGGUUGUAAACUUCUUUUAUAAAGGAAUAAAGUCGGGUAUGGAUACCCGUUUGCAUGUACUUUAUGAAUAAGGAUCGGCUAACUCCGUGCCAGCAGCCGCGGUAAUACGGAGGAUCCGAGCGUUAUCCGGAUUUAUUGGGUUUAAAGGGAGCGUAGAUGGAUGUUUAAGUCAGUUGUGAAAGUUUGCGGCUCAACCGUAAAAUUGCAGUUGAUACUGGAUAUCUUGAGUGCAGUUGAGGCAGGCGGAAUUCGUGGUGUAGCGGUGAAAUGCUUAGAUAUCACGAAGAACUCCGAUUGCGAAGGCAGCCUGCUAAGCUGCAACUGACAUUGAGGCUCGAAAGUGUGGGUAUCAAACAGGAUUAGAUACCCUGGUAGUCCACGCCGUAAACGAUGAAUACUAGGUGUCGGGGCUCAUAAGAGCUUCGGUGCCGCAGCAAACGCAAUAAGUAUUCCACCGGGGGAGUACGUUCGCAAGAAUGAAACUCAAAGGAAUUGACGGGGGCCCGCACAAGCGGAGGAACAUGUGGUUUAAUUCGAUGAUACGCGAGGAACCUUACCCGGGCUUAAAUUGCAGAUGAAUUACGGUGAAAGCCGUAAGCCGCAAGGCAUCUGUGAAGGUGCUGCAUGGUUGUCGUCAGCUCGUGCCGUGAGGUGUCGGCUUAAGUGCCAUAACGAGCGCAACCCUUGUUGUCAGUUACUAACAGGUUCCGCUGAGGACUCUGACAAGACUGCCAUCGUAAGAUGUGAGGAAGGUGGGGAUGACGUCAAAUCAGCACGGCCCUUACGUCCGGGGCUACACACGUGUUACAAUGGGGGGUACAGAGGGCCGCUACCACGCGAGUGGAUGCCAAUCCCCAAAACCUCUCUCAGUUCGGACUGGAGUCUGCAACCCGACUCCACGAAGCUGGAUUCGCUAGUAAUCGCGCAUCAGCCACGGCGCGGUGAAUACGUUCCCGGGCCUUGUACACACCGCCCGUCAAGCCAUGGGAGCCGGGGGUACCUGAAGUGCGUAACCGCGAGGAGCGCCCUAGGGUAAAACUGGUGACUGGGGCU
rnacentral:rRNA from 1 species